GGCCAGCGUGGUAUAGUGGUUUGAGUGCCAGAUUAUGACUCUAGAGACUAGGGUUCGAUUCCUAGCUUGGCCA